UACGGAGGGAGCUAGCGUUGUCCGGAAUUACUGGGCGUAAAGCGUACGUAGGCGGCUUUGUAAGUUAGAGGUGAAAGCCCGGAGCUCAACUCCGGAACUGCCUUUAAGACUGCAUCGCUAGAAUCCGGGAGAGGUGAGUGGAAUUCCGAGUGUAGAGGUGAAAUUCGUAGAUAUUCGGAAGAACACCAGUGGCGAAGGCGGCUCACUGGCCCGGUACUGACGCUGAGGCACGAAAGCGUGGGGAGCAAACAGG
rnacentral:rRNA from 1 species